UACGGAGGGUGCAAGCGUUAAUCGGAAUUACUGGGCGUAAGGCGCACGCAGGUGGCUGAGUCAGUCGAUUGUGAAAGCCCUGGGCUUAACCUGGGAAUUGCAGUCGAUACUACUCAGCUAGAGUAUGGGAGAGGGCAGUGGAAUUCCCGGUGUAGCGGUGAAAUGCGUAGAUAUCGGGAGGAACAUCAGUGGCGAAGGCGGCUGCCUGGCCCAAUACUGACACUCAGGUGCGACAGCGUGGGGAGCAAACAGG
rnacentral:rRNA from 1 species